rnacentral:rRNA from 1 species
UACGUAGGGUGCAAGCGUUAAUCGGAAUUACUGGGCGUAAAGCGUGCGCAGGCGGCUUUGCAAGACAGAUGUGAAAUCCCCGGGCUUAACCUGGGAACUGCGUUUCUAACUGGCAGGCUUGAGUGUGGCAGAGGGGGGGUGGAAUUCCACGUGUAGCAGUGAAGUGCGUAGAGAUGUGGAGGAACACCGAUGGCGAAGGCAGCCCCCUGGGCUAACACUGACGCCUCAUGCACGAAAGCGUGGGGAGCAAACAGG